rnacentral:rRNA from 1 species
UGACCGAUCUGCCUUCGAGAGGGGAUAACCUGGGGAAACUCGGGCUAAUACCGCAUGAAGUGUCGUGCUCGCA